GCUCAGGACGAACGCUGGCGGCGUGCCUAAUACAUGCAAGUCGAGCGGACAGAUGGGAGCUUGCUCCCUGAUGUUAGCGGCGGACGGGUGAGUAACACGUGGGUAACCUGCCUGUAAGACUGGGAUAACUCCGGGAAACCGGGGCUAAUACCGGAUGCUUGAUUGAACCGCAUGGUUCAAUUAUAAAAGGUGGCUUUUAGCUACCACUUACAGAUGGACCCGCGGCGCAUUAGCUAGUUGGUGAGGUAAUGGCUCACCAAGGCAACGAUGCGUAGCCGACCUGAGAGGGUGAUCGGCCACACUGGGACUGAGACACGGCCCAGACUCCUACGGGAGGCAGCAGUAGGGAAUCUUCCGCAAUGGACGAAAGUCUGACGGAGCAACGCCGCGUGAGUGAUGAAGGUUUUCGGAUCGUAAAACUCUGUUGUUAGGGAAGAACAAGUACCGUUCGAAUAGGGCGGUACCUUGACGGUACCUAACCAGAAAGCCACGGCUAACUACGUGCCAGCAGCCGCGGUAAUACGUAGGUGGCAAGCGUUGUCCGGAAUUAUUGGGCGUAAAGCGCGCGCAGGCGGUUUCUUAAGUCUGAUGUGAAAGCCCCCGGCUCAACCGGGGAGGGUCAUUGGAAACUGGGGAACUUGAGUGCAGAAGAGGAGAGUGGAAUUCCACGUGUAGCGGUGAAAUGCGUAGAGAUGUGGAGGAACACCAGUGGCGAAGGCGACUCUCUGGUCUGUAACUGACGCUGAGGCGCGAAAGCGUGGGGAGCGAACAGGAUUAGAUACCCUGGUAGUCCACGCCGUAAACGAUGAGUGCUAAGUGUUAGAGGGUUUCCGCCCUUUAGUGCUGCAGCAAACGCAUUAAGCACUCCGCCUGGGGAGU
rnacentral:rRNA from 1 species